rnacentral:rRNA from 1 species
AUAUAAAACUUUAAAAAAUACUCCACAUCAUUUUUAUAAUUAAUUAUCCUACAAAACUUAUAAAAAUAGUACUCUAAAGGAAAACUGAAAUAAAAUGAAAAAUAAAGAGAAAAAAGGAAAGAAUUGUACCUUUAGUAUUAUGGUUUUACAAGAUUACCUGAAAAAUUAUUCUUCACCCGAAAUUUAGAGAGCUAACCUUAUUCUUCUUUUUAGAAGAAACACCUCUACUGUUGCAAGAGUAGAAAAAAAGAAAAGGUUUGAAGUGACAUGCUUACCGAUCUAAAUGAUAGCUGGUUUUCAAAGAAAAAAGUCUUAGCUUCCUUACCUUAAAAUCCUACUUUCUUAUAGAAAAUAUUUAUUAAAGGGAAAGGAGAGGGAAGAAGAUAAGUUCUUCCCUCUAAAAGGAAACAACCUGAAAUACAGGAAAAUUAUUAAAGAAUAAACCUUUAGUAGACCUAAAAGCGGCCACCAAAAGAAAGCGUUACAGCUCAACCCUUUAUUCUAAAAAUUUAUUAAAACUAUUAACCUUAUUUUUAGAUAUUUGAAAAUAAUAAUGUAAAUACUAGUAAAACAGUUAUUAAUGGGAAACAUAAACAAAAACCAAGAAAAAGGAAAACCCAAGACUUUUAAAAAGUUCAAUCAACCCAGACAAUAUCUCAUAAUAAAAAAGGCGAGAAGGAACUAGGCAAAAAAGAAAAUGACUGUUUACCAAAAACAUAGCUCCUUGAAUAUAUAAGGAGUAAAGCCUGCCCAGUGGAAAUUCUUAACGGCCGCGGUAUCCUGACCGUGCAAAGGUAGCAUAAUCAUUUGUCUCUUAAUUGGGGACUGGAAUGAACGGCACCACAUUUUCUAUCUGUCUCCUCCCCUUUUCUUUUAAACUUCUAUUACCGUGAAGAAGCGUUAAUACCUCAGAAAGACGAGAAGACCCUGUCGAGCUUAAGCUCAAAUGAAAAUAAUUCUCCUUAAGAAAAAAUCUUUCAUUUAUAGCUUUGGUUGGGGCAACCAUGGAGAACAAACAUCCUCCAGUAAAAAUUACUGAUAACUAAUCUCUUUUUAAAAAAUUAAGAACCAAAAAAUUGGAAAUCGGAAAUAGUUACCGCAGGGAUAACAGCGUUAUCUUCUUUAAGAGCUCUCAUUGACAAGAAGGAUUGCGACCUCGAUGUUGGAUUGGGGUAACCAAAGGGUGCAGCAGCUCUUUAAGGUUGGACUGUUCGUCCACUAAUCCCCCACAUGAUCUGAGUUCAGACCGACGUAAGUCAGGUCAGCUUCUAUCUUCUUUUUAUACCUUCUUUAGUACGAAAGGACCAAGAAGAAUUUUCCAAUAAAUUUCUUUAAGAAAAAGACAAAU